rnacentral:rRNA from 1 species
UACAGAGGUCUCAAGCGUUGUUCGGAUUCAUUGGGCGUAAAGGGCGCGUAGGCGGCCACCGCAAGUCGACUGUGAAAUCUCCGGGCUUAACCCGGAAAGGUCAGCCGAUACUGCGGGGCUAGAGUGCAGAAGGGGCAACUGGAAUUCUCGGUGUAGCGGUGAAAUGCGUAGAUAUCGAGAGGAACACCUGCGGCGAAGGCGGGUUGCUGGGCUGACACUGACGCUGAGGCGCGAAAGCUAGGGGAGCGAACGGG